rnacentral:tRNA from 2 species
GGGGCCUUAGCUCAUUUGGGAGAGCGCCUGCUUUGCAAGUAGGAGGUAGCGGGUUCGAUCCCCGCAGGCUCCACCA